GAAUGAGCGGCGGACGGGUGAGUAACACGUAAAGAACCUGCCCUCAGGUCUGGGAUAACCACGAGAAAUCGGGGCUAAUACCGGAUGGGUCAUCGGACCGCAUGGUCCGAGGAUGAAAGGCGCUUCGGCGUCGCCUGGGGAUGGCUUUGCGGUGCAUUAGCUAGUUGGUGGGGUAAUGGCCCACCAAGCGACGAUGCAUAGCCGACCUGAGAGGGUGAUCGGCCACACUGGGACUGAGACACGGCCCAGACUCCUACGGGAGGCAGCAGUAGGGAAUCUUCCACAAUGGACGAAAGUCUGAUGGAGCAACGCCGCGUGAACGAUGAAGGCCUUCGGGUCGUAAAGUUCUGUUGUAAGGGAAGAACAAGUGCCGCAGGCAAUGGCGGCACCUUGACGGUACCUUGCGAGAAAGCCACGGCUAACUACGUGCCAGCAGCCGCGGUAAUACGUAGGUGGCAAGCGUUGUCCGGAAUUAUUGGGCGUAAAGCGCGCGCAGGCGGCCUCUUAAGUCUGAUGUGAAAGCCCCCGGCUCAACCGGGGAGGGCCAUUGGAAACUGGGAGGCUUGAGUAUAGGAGAGAAGAGUGAAUUCCACGUGUAGCGGUGAAAUGCGUAGAGAUGUGGAGGAACACCAGUGGCGAAGGCGACUCUUUGGCCUAUAACUGACGCUGAG
rnacentral:rRNA from 1 species